CAGCCGCCGCGGGAAUACGUAGGGUGCAAGCGUUAAUCGGAAUUACUGGGCGUAAAGCGUGCGCAGGCGGUUCGUUAAGACAGAUGUGAAAUCCCCGGGCUUAACCUGGGAACUGCAUUUGUGACUGGCGGGCUAGAGUAUGGCAGAGGGGGGUAGAAUUCCACGUGUAGCAGUGAAAUGCGUAGGGAUGUGGAGGAAUACCGAUGGCGAAGGCAGCCCCCUGGGCCAAUACUGACGCUCGUGCACGAAAGCGUGGGGAGCAAACAGGAUUAGAUACCCCAGUAGUCCCUGUCUCUUAUAC
rnacentral:rRNA from 1 species